rnacentral:rRNA from 1 species
AGAUUGAACGCUAGCGGGAUGCUUUACACAUGCAAGUCGAACGGCAGCGCGGACUUCGGUCUGGCGGCGAGUGGCGAACGGGUGAGUAAUAUAUCGGAACGUGCCCAGUAGCGGGGGAUAACUACGCGAAAGCGUGGCUAAUACCGCAUACGCCCCAUGGGGGAAAGCGGGGGACCUUCGGGCCUCGCGCUAUCAGAUGAGCCUGCGUCGGAUUAGCUAGUUGGUAGGGUAAUGGCCUACCAAGGCGACGAUCCGUAGCUGGUCUGAGAGGAUGAUCAGCCACACUGGGACUGAGACACGGCCCAGACUCCUACGGGAGGCAGCAGGUGGGGAAUAUUGGACAAGUGGGGGCAACCCUGAUCCAGCCACUACCGCGUGUGUGAAGAAGGCCGUUCGGUUGUAAGCACUUCUGUAGGGAGAAAGUUGCGCGA